GGGCGGUUAGCUCAGCCGGUAGAGCGCCACGUUUACACCGUGGAAGUCGGCGGUUCGAUCCCGUCACCGCCCACCA
rnacentral:tRNA from 2 species